rnacentral:rRNA from 1 species
UUGGAAGUAAAAGUCGUAACAAGGUCUCCGUUGGUGAACCAGCGGAGGGAUCAUUACUGAGUUUACGCUCUACAACCCUUUGUGAACAUACCUAUAACUGUUGCUUCGGCGGGUAGGGUCUCCGUGACCCUCCCGGCCUCCCGCCCCCGGGCGGGUCGGCGCCCGCCGGAGGAUAACCAAACUCUGAUUUAACGACGUUUCUUCUGAGUGGUACAAGCAAAUAAUCAAAACUUUUAACAACGGAUCUCUUGGUUCUGGCAUCGAUGAAGAACGCAGCGAAAUGCGAUAAGUAAUGUGAAUUGCAGAAUUCAGUGAAUCAUCGAAUCUUUGAACGCACAUUGCGCCCGCCAGCAUUCUGGCGGGCAUGCCUGUUCGAGCGUCAUUUCAACCCUCAAGCUCUGCUUGGUGUUGGGGCCCUACAGCUGAUGUAGGCCCUCAAAGGUAGUGGCGGACCCUCCCGGAGCCUCCUUUGCGUAGUAACUUUACGUCUCGCACUGGGAUCCGGAGGGACUCUUGCCGUAAAACCCCCCAAUUUUCCAAAGGUUGACCUCGGAUCAGGUAGGAAUACCCGCUGAACUUAAGCAUAUCAAUA